rnacentral:rRNA from 1 species
ACCUACGACCAUACCCAACUGAAAGCACGGGAUCCCGUCCGCUCUCCCCUAGUGAAACAGUUGAGGGCCGAACUAGUACUCAGGUGGGUGACCACUGGGGAAUCCUCGGUGUUGUAGGUA